GUGAGUCAUCGAAUCUUUGAACGCACAUUGCGCCCCCUGGCAUUCCGGGGGGCAUGCCUGUCCGAGCGUCAUUUCUGCCCUCAAGCACGGCUUGUGUGUUGGGUGCGGUCCCCCCGGGGACCUGCCCGAAAGGCAGCGGCGACGUCCGUCUGGUCCUCGAGCGUAUGGGGCUUUGUCACUCGCUCGGGAAGGACCUGCGGGGGUUGGUCACCACCAUAUUUUACCACGGUUGACCUCGGAUCAGGUAGGAGUUACCCGCUGAACUUAAGCAUAUCAAUAAGCGGAGGA
rnacentral:misc_RNA from 1 species